GAUGAACGCUAGCUACAGGCUUAACACAUGCAAGUCGAGGGGCAGCACUAGGUAGCAAUACUGAGGUUGCGACCGGCGCACGGGUGCGUAACGCGUAUCCAACCUUCCCGUUACUCUUGGAUAGCCUUCCGAAAGGGAGAUUAAUACAAGAUGGUGUUUCAAUUCCGCAUGUUAUGGAAACUAAAGAUUUAUCGGUAUCGGAUGGGGAUGCGUGACAUUAGAUAGUAGGCGGGGUAACGGCCCACCUAGUCUACGAUGUCUAGGGGUUCUGAGAGGAAGGUCCCCCACACUGGAACUGAGACACGGUCCAGACUCCUACGGGAGGCAGCAGUGAGGAAUAUUGGUCAAUGGUCGGAAGACUGAACCAGCCAAGUAGCGUGAAGGAUGAAGGUUCUAUGGAUUGUAAACUUCUUUUAUACGGGAAUAAAACACCUUACGUGUAGGGUCUUGUAUGUACCGUAUGAAUAAGCAUCGGCUAACUCCGUGCCAGCCGCCGCCGUAAUAC
rnacentral:rRNA from 1 species